CCUGAAGAUCCUUUUAGAAGUCUGAAGGCGCUCAUGAUGGAAAGAUUUUGGACAGAGAGCAUUUUCACCAACCCAACUUAACUAGCACAAAACAACCAAAUACAAUCAAAAAAUGAAACUAUAAUAAAUCAGACGUAUGCAACGUAAGUUCUACCAUAGUUUAAACAUUGUAUGUAUGAUGAUUGCAAGGUAAAACAUCGCGGCAAAGGUGAUUAUACAAAUAUGAAGAAAAAUAAGAAAAAAAAGGGAGCUAGUAUUUGCACUAUUUUAUUAUUAGUGUGGUGGUUUCUCUACUCACUGCCCAUGUAGCCC
rnacentral:lncRNA from 1 species